GAUGCCUCUUCUGCUCAUCAGACUCUCUGCUGUCGUGCUCCUCGUCAGCCUCGUCUCCGCCCAGCAGCGCCUCACCUGCCCCCAGGACAUCCACACGGGGCUGAUGAGGGACCUGUGGAAGCACACCAGGCUGCUGAUCAAUAGGCUGCCGACAGAAAACCAUUUCUCCCGGAGGUUCAGACUUCUGCCCAACUUCUGUGUCAAAUGUCAGGAGCACGCGAUUGGCUGGCUGGAGAUCAGAGAGCUGAUCAAUAUCUACCAGAGGAGCGUGUUCAGCAGCGAGGUGAUCCAGAAGCUCCUCCACCCACAUUACAACGACCUGAUGUACGGACUGCAGCACACACUGCGGCACUGCGUUUCCUCCUCUGAAUCUUCAAAAUAUUCCAAGAUCAUGAAGAAGCUGGAGAAAAGAAUUAACAAGAGGAGGAAUGGCGAAGGAGAUGAGGGAGACGAUGGAGCACUGAAGGCCAUCAGAGAGUUCACCUACAUCCUCAGGUGGAUCAAUGAGCUGACACACCACCACAUGCCGUAGAGCUGCUUCAUCAUCAUCGUCAUCAGUAUUUGUAUUAUUACAACCACCCCAACCUCCACCACCACCAUCAUCAGCAUCAUCACUGAGGAUUAUUUUUUGAGGAUCACUUUAUGUAGCAAAGAGCUUGUUAUUAAUGUUUUUAUUUAUUCUUUUAAACUGAAGUUUUGGAUGUAUUUGAUUUUCUGGCACAAGCGCGCCAGAAAAUCAAAUACAAGUACGACUGAGAAGAACCAGCAACUCGGCUCUGAGUUUUCUUUUUGACCCGACGCACUGAUGGACUAAGGUUUGUGUAAGUGGAUCUUCUUUAACAGAAGAACGUCCAGCAGAACCUCAAAUUUGCUUUACAAAUGUUUGAAAAUUUUGAUUUUUAAAACAAGGAAAAUGAGGUAAAACUAGUAAAAAUAUAAGCUGUGUUGCUGGGAGCCUCUUAAAAGAUUGCGAAUAAUUUAAAGUAUUGAGAAUAUUUUACAUGUGUGAUGAAACAUUAUGUACAAUAUAAGUUAUUUUGGAUAAUUUAUUGUAUUUGAGGACCUACUGAAGAAUCUGAAGGAUUAAAAAUACUUGAAGCUUUAUUAUAUCAACCUGACAGAAGAAUAAAAUAGGAUAUUUUUAUAUUUUAACUUUAUGUAUAUGAAUUUGUUAUAUUUUUAGAGAAAUAAACUAGUUUUUAUCUUAA
ensembl:lncRNA